CCUUCGAUAGCUCAGUUGGUAGAGCGGUGGACUGUAGAGGAAUCCGUCCGAAUGGUUGUGUGUACCCCUUUCUCUCAGUGUAUGGAACACAAAAAUAUCUCUACCAUUUCGUGAUGUUUCAGUAAUCCAUAGGUCACUGGUUCAAAUCCGGUUCGAAGGA
rnacentral:tRNA from 1 species